CAACCCUCGAGCCCCCCCGGGGGGUCGGCGUUGGGGACCGGCUUUCCGCCUCGGCGGAUCGCCGCCCCCGAAAUGCAGUGGCGGUCUCGCCGCAGCCUCCCCUGCGCAGUAGCUUGCAAAACUCGCACCGGAGCGCGGCGCGUCCACGCCGUGAAACCGCAGAAAAGCGACCUCAAAAGG
rnacentral:misc_RNA from 1 species